UACGUAGGGGGCGAGCGUUGUCCGGAAUUAUUGGGCGUAAAGAGCUCGUAGGUGGUUUGUCGCGUUGUUCGUGAAAUCUCACGGCUUAACUGUGAGCGUGCGGGCGAUACGGGCAGACUGGAGUACUGCAGGGGAGACUGGAAUUCCUGGUGUAGCGGUGGAAUGCGCAGAUAUCAGGAGGAACACCGGUGGCGAAGGCGGGUCUCUGGGCCGAUACUGACGCUGAGGAGCGAAAGCGUGGGGAGCGAACAGG
rnacentral:rRNA from 1 species